rnacentral:rRNA from 1 species
UUGCAGGCUGCAACUCGCCUGCAUGAAGUUGGAAUUGCUAGUAAUCGCGAAUCAGAAUGUCGCGGUGAAUACGUUCCCGGGCCUUGUACACACCGCCCGUCACACCAUGAGAGUCGAUAACACCCGAAGCCUGUGAGCUAACCGCAAGGGGGCAGCAGUCGAAGGUGGGGUUGAUGAUUGGGGUGAAGUCGUAACAAGGUAUC